UAAUAGUUGGCAGAUUACUGCCACUCUGUCCCAGGUUUUUACAAUCUGCCAAUGCAUACCUUUUUGUUUUGUAUUUCUGCAUGGCAACUGCCAUCCCCUAAGGCUGCAAUCUUGAUUCCAUGGAGGUCACUAUCAAGAGAAACCUGCCUUACUGAAAAGUGUCUACUUUUUUUCCCUUUACAAGUUACAAAUGGCUUGACAUUUUGAACUCAAGCCAUUGUCCUGGGCAGGGCAAUACGAACUGUACUUGAAUAACAGUCCCGAUAAUCUCUUUUGUUAGAGAAACCAGGUAACCAACAGCCACACCCAUAUAGACCAUCUUUGAGUUUUCAAAAAUCAAUCAUUUUCAAAGCAAUGGCUUGGUAUAAUGUCAGAUGCUAUUUUUAUUGGUUUAUAUCUCAGAACCACCACUGGCUUCGGUGUAAUCCAUUAUACAUCUGUGCAUGAUGUAAUGAAAAUGACAUCUCUCUUUCCCUGCAAAUUAGACUAGUCUAGUGGUACUUGGCUUUCAUAUUUUGCAUACUUCUGAAAGCUGGUAAGAUGAGCCUCUGUUAAAAUGGCAGCGCUUCCAAUUUAACCAUUCAUGUGGUUCUUGUAAAAAAUACUUGGAUUCCCAAGUACCGCCAAGAUAUAUGAAUGGUACAGGGAACAAAUGACCAUUUUCUCUGAACACACUGGAGAGCGUUUGUAACCAAGAAGCUAAGUUCGUUGGUUCAUCUCAACAGCUGGAAGAGUGGCAAAAGUAACAGAAAUUACAUGACUGUACUAACUGUUGCAUUUCAAAGGAGUCAUUGCUGGAUCAGAGAUACCUCGACAGUACACUGUGAAUCAUGCAGUUUAGUGUCAUUCAGUAACAAAAGAGGUCUCCUGCCUGACCUUGCAGUGUACCACUAGGCUAUAUUGAUUUCUAGUGUCUGUUGUAAACCUGUCUCUUUAGAGGUUUCAUCGAAGCUCACAGUUUCAGUAUUAAACCACUGUUUGUCACCUAAUUUUUAAAUUACUGUCUUCCAUGUUAUUUCAUUCAUAAAAUGUAACAUGUUAUUUAUAGAACAAUAACCUGUUGAAGUUAAAACCUAUUUUUCAGUAUUUAUGGGUAGCCUCUGUAUAUAAACUGUGUGUGUAUAUAUUGUAAGUAUAUUGUAUAUAAUGUAGGUUGGGAGUUUGUGUUUAUGUAUAUAAGCUUUCGUUACGAUUCAUGGCUAAUGCAUUAUGUCCAUGACUCAUUCCUGUUAUGCAUUCAGUUGAAAGAGCUAUCAGAUGGAAGUCUCCAGAGAAAUAAUUAUGGCUCCCCAAAUGAAAAUCCUGUGCCCUCAAAUUGUCUAAGGACACAAGAACAUUUAAAGACCAGGGCUGGCAUCUAAAAGUGUUUCCAAGGACGUGAUAGUCCAAUGAGGGGUUCCCCUCCCUUUGAACCACACACAACAUUGCACACUGAUCUGAAACUUCCCUUGCUUUCAAAAGCAGUUUGCUUUGUGGGAUGGAAGCUGUGAUGGUUCUUUCAGAAAAAUAAGUCUAGAUUCAUGCAAGGGCUUUGCAGUGUGAAGGCAGUUCUCUGCCCCCUUGUAAGAGGGAAAUGUGAAGCCCCUGUGUGCAUGAAGUUAUUGACUGGGCCCCUUAUUCGUUACAGCUGUGUACACUGCAUUAAACAUCAGAAUCUCUUGGAUCCACAGAGUGCAGGCUUUCAGAAUACAGUUUGCCACAGAUGGUUUUUCAGUAACUAGUUUUAAAAUCAAUAUAUCAAGCCUUCAUGUACAGGUAUGAUAAUAUUUGUAUAUAUUGUAUAUGUAUAUAUAGAGAGAGAUACACACUGUAAUGUUAGAUCAACAAUUAAGGGACAAUUGUUGAAAAAGAGUGCUACACAGUUUCAAUGAAACAUUGUAUGUUUUAACUAAACUAAAAUAAAGAUAUAAUCUUAAA